UGACAAUUAUAUUUGAGAAAACUGUUCAAUAAGAACAGUUUUUUCAAAUAUAAAUAGUAUAGACUGUUUAUAUUUUUGUUUCUCAAAUAUAAACAUAUGUUUUUUUGUUUCUCAAAUAUAAACAGUAUAGACUGCCAAAUUUGAAGUUUCAAAUCCAAUUAAUAAUAGAACUAGAACCGUUUAAAAAUUACAAAAUCGACAAAAAAAAAAACGUUAUUUUUCAUUGUCAUCUCGUCCUCUUCCUCCGUAGACACUUCUACAAAUCGCAUCAUUCAACCGAUAUUGAUGAAGUUUGGAAUAUAGAUAUAUCUUAGAUUACUUGAGGUCCUCUGAAAAUUUCAGUAUAAUGGGUCAAAAAAAGGAGGAAAUAGGGGUCCGUUUUCCAUAAAUACCUCUACACAUCACAUUGUUUACCGAUUUUCAUCAAAUUUGGAAUAUAAGAUAUCCUAGCUCAGUUAAAAUCUUCAAAAAAUUUUAGCUCAGUUGGGUUAAAUUCCCUUCUCUAGAAACGCUUCUAUAGACACAUCGUUCAAUCAAUUUCGACCAAAUCUGGAAUAUAAAUCUCAUUUAUGUAAUCUAAGAUUUUCUGAAAAUUUCAGCCCACUAGAUCCAAAAUAAAGGGAUAGAGAAUCUUUCAUUAUGAACUUUUUUAUAGGUUGUAUCGUUCAGCCGAUUUCGACGAAAUUUGCUAUAUAUAAAUACCACAGUACAGUAUUAAAAAAUUAGAUGCGAUAGCUCAUGUUGUGCUAAAAAAAAUACUACAUAGGGCGGCCUACAAACAGUUUAGAUGCGGGUAUUAGGCUAACAUUUGCUUUACUCUCUUAAAUCGUCAAUCAAGUAACCGUAUCUAAAUUUUAAUAAAUGUCUUAAUUUUUUAAUAUUGUAUUUAUGCUCAUUUUUUAUAUAUUAGAUGUUUUUGAUUAUAUACGAAGUUACAGAAAAGCGAGUGUUCAAUCACAUUUUUUAUGUUGUUUGGACUGCUCAAAUCAAUUGAGAUUACUUUUCCCUAUUGUUGCAUUUCGUCCAUCAAUGGAGGAUGAUACUAUUACUUUUCAUUUUAAUUAUGCGGUUUGGUUUGUGAAAGCCGACGCCUCCACGAAUACUGUUUUAGAAUAUCAGAUCUUUUCAUGCCUUCAAAUUAAACAUCCGACUACACCAUAAGUAUGAACUAUUAAAUAUUAUUAUGCAUGUGCUUAUCGUGUGUUUUUUUCAGAAAGUUCAGUUUAAUAUUGAUAAAAUAAAACGUAUUUUAUUAAGGAUGUUUUAACCCUUUAAUUUAUGAACAGUUGUUAUAGAUAAGCAUUACUGCAUAUUAUAAACUUUAGUUUUCCGCGAUUACAUUUUUAUUCCGAAUUAUUAUAUAAGUGUCGAC
rnacentral:lncRNA from 1 species